rnacentral:lncRNA from 1 species
GGGUUUCCAUAAGUAUUCAUUGGGUGUCUGAGGGUUUUGAACCUCUGCCCACAUGAAUGGAAGUGGAAGAGCUCAACCUACUAAAUAAUUUUUAAAUUCAUUAUGUGUUAUUAAAUACACGAUGAAUUGGAAUACAUCCGUCUGAUGUGACUCUCACAUGCGAUUUUUUGAUGGGCACCAUGAGUAGGGGUGGGCACGGUCCGGUCCAAUCUGGUUUUCACCUUGCAACGGAAUCGAAAUCGGU